GACGAACGCUGGCGGCGUGCUUAACACAUGCAAGUCGAGCGGUAAGGCCCUUUCGGGGGUACACGAGCGGCGAACGGGUGAGUAACACGUGGGUGACCUGCCCUCAGCUCUGGGAUAAGCCUGGGAAACCGGGUCUAAUACCGGAUAUGACUCCAUGACGCAUGUUGUGGGGUGGAAAGCCUUGUGCGGCUGAGGAUGGGCCCGCGGCCUAUCAGCUUGUUGGUGGGGUGANGGCCUACCAAGGCGACGACGGGUAGCCGGCCUGAGAGGGCGACCGGCCACACUGGGACUGAGACACGGCCCAGACUCCUACGGGAGGCAGCAGUGGGGAAUCUUGCGCAAUGGGCGAAAGCCUGACGCAGCGACGCCGCGUGAGGGAUGACGGCCUGGUUGUAACGU
rnacentral:rRNA from 1 species